rnacentral:rRNA from 1 species
CAGCAGCCGCGGUAAUACGAAGGGUGCAAGCGUUACUCGGAAUUACUGGGCGUAAAGCGUGCGUAGGUGGUGGUUCAAGUCCGUUGUGAAAGCCCUGGGCUCAACCUGGGAAUUGCAGUGGAUACUGGGUCACUAGAGUGUGGUAGAGGAUAGUGGAAUUUCCGGUGUAGCAGUGAAAUGCGUAGAGAUCGGAAGGAACAUCUGUGGCGAAGGCGACUAUCUGGGCCAACACUGACACUGAGGCACGAAAGCGUGGGGAGCAAACAGGAUUAGAUACCCGAGUAGUCCCUGUCUCUUAUAC